rnacentral:piRNA from 1 species
UCCUUUAGCAGUCUUACUA